UUUCCGUAGGUGAACCUGCGGAAGGAUCAUUAAAAAAUUGGACUCCAUUGGUGAGUUCAUUAAUAAUCCCUACCCUUUGUGAAUUUGUUUGUUUGAAUAAUUUUUUUUCCAAAAAAAGUUAUUGAAUGUCUUUCCCUGUUUUGGUGGAGCUUGUAAAGUGAAACCAGGCAGGGGAAUAGCAAACAAUAAUUAUUUUUUGAAAAAAGACCUUUUUUAAAAUUAAACUUUUUGUAUUCAUUUGUCUAAAAUUAUUUUUAUAAUAUAAAAACAACUUUUGACAAUGGAUCUCUUGGUUCUCGCAACGAUGAAGAACGCAGCAAAAUGCGAUAAGUAGUGUGAAUUGCAGAAUACGUGAAUCAUCGAAUCUUCGAACGCAUAUUGCACUUUUUUAGUUUACUAAAAAAAGUAUGUCUGUUUGAGUAUCAGUAAAAUAUUCUCAUAAAAAACAUUGUUUUUUUAUGGUUAUGAGUGUUUUACAACGAUAACAAGUUGUUUCACUUUAAAUUCUUUGUUAUCAAAAAAAUCAUUAAAAGCUAAUUUUAAAGAUUUUUUAAAAUUGGAUAAAAUUUUCCCGUAAAAAGGAAUAACCUAAACAAUUUUAAAAAAUUAAAAUUGGUUUGAUUUUUUUUUGAAACCCAAAGGAAAAAAAAAAACGAAAUUAACUUGAUCUCAAAUCAGAUAAGAGUACCCGCUGAACUUAAGCAUAUCAAUAAGCGGAGGAAAAGAAACUAACUAGGAUUCCCUCAGUAACGGCGAGUGAAGCGGGAAGAGCUCAAAUUUGAAAUCUUCAAGGUUUUACCUUGACGAAUUGUAGUUUAAAGAAGUGUUUUCUGUUGGAGUUUUGGUAAAAGUUCUUUGGAAAAGGACAUCAUAGAGGGUGAGAAUCCCGUAUUUGACCAUUAUCUCCAGCUUUGUGAUACACUUUCAAAGAGUCGUAUUGUUUGGGAAUGCAGUCCAAAAUGGGUGGUAAAUUUCAUCUAAAGCUAAAUACUGGCGAGAGACCGAUAGCGAACAAGUACCGUGAGGGAAAGAUGAAAAGAACUUUGAAAAGAGAGUUAAACAGUACGUGAAAUUGUCAAAAGGGAAGCGUUUGACACCAGUGUUGUUUCUGGAGAAAUCAAUUAAGAAAGCGGAUUGUUGUGUUGUAUGACUUUAUCAGCUCUUACUGCACCUUUUUUCUUGUCUAAUGCACUUUCUCGUUUAACAAGUCAACAUCAAUUUCUUUUGUUGUAAAAGGGUCAUUGGAAGGUGGCUUUCUUUUCGGAGAAAGUGUUUAUAGCCUUUGGUCUCUGCAAUCGGAGAGAUUGAGGUCUGCAGCGUAGAUCCUUCGGGGUUAGAUACAUCGGUGGCUAAGUUAUAGCCUUUCAUAGACAACUUGUUGACUAUAUUCGAUCUUGUAGCUUACUCGCUAUGCUAUUUUACCUACGCUUAGGAUGUUG
rnacentral:misc_RNA from 1 species